rnacentral:rRNA from 1 species
GACGAACGCUGGCGGCGUGCUUAACACAUGCAAGUCGAACGGAAAGGCCCUGCUUUUGUGGGGUGCUCGAGUGGCGAACGGGUGAGUAACACGUGAGUAACCUGCCCUUGACUUUGGGAUAACUUCAGGAAACUGGGGCUAAUACCGGAUAGGAGCUCCUGCUGCAUGGUGGGGGUUGGAAAGUUUCGGCGGUUGGGGAUGGACUCGCGGCUUAUCAGCUUGUUGGUGGGGUAGUGGCUUACCAAGGCUUUGACGGGUAGCCGGCCUGAGAGGGUGACCGGCCCCAUUGGGACUGGGAUACGGCCCGGACUCCUACGGGAGGCAGCAGUGGGGAAUAUUGCACAAUGGGCGGAAGCCUGAUGCAGCAACGCCGCGUGCGGGAUGACGGCCUUCGGGUUGUAAACCGCUUUCGCCUGUGACGAAGCGUGAGUGACGGUAAUGGGUAAAGAAGCACCGGCUAACUACGUG